rnacentral:sRNA from 1 species
CUAAAAGAACCACCGAGCGACUGUAGCC